rnacentral:lncRNA from 1 species
GUUCUUCAUCAUUGAAAACGGGUAUUGGUGCUGCUGUCUUUCCUUCGUUGUUGAACCUUCUCUUCUUGAAAUUUCCAUUCCUAUUAUCUUGGCCAUGAUUACCACCGAAGUGGUUACCAUUCUUGGCAUGAUAAUUUCCCCCAUGAUGGUUAUCAUUGUUCCGAUGGCCGUUGCCACCGGUACGAUUAUUAACGUGUUAUUGGUCGUUGCCUUUUGGUUGUGCUGACUCAUUAU